rnacentral:rRNA from 1 species
UACGUAGGGUGCGAGCGUUGUCCGGAAUUACUGGGCGUAAAGGGCUCGUAGGUGGCCAACUAAGUCAGACGUGAAAUCCCUCGGCUUAACCGGGGAACUGCGUCUGAUACUGGAUGGCUUGAGUUUGGGAGAGGGACGCGGAAUUCCAGGUGUAGCGGUGAAAUGCGUAGAUAUCUGGAGGAACACCGGUGGCGAAGGCGGCGUCCUGGACCAACACUGACACUGAGGAGCGAAAGCCAGGGGAGCAAACGGG